rnacentral:rRNA from 1 species
GACGAACGCUGGCGGCGUGCCUAAUACAUGCAAGUUGAGCGCUGAAGGUUGGUACUUGUACCAACUGGAUGAGCAGCGAACGGGUGAGUAACGCGUGGGGAAUCUGCCUUUGAGCGGGGGACAACAUUUGGAAACGAAUGCUAAUACCGCAUAAAAACUUUAAACACAAGGUUUAAGUUUGAAAGAUGCAAUUGCAUCACUCAAAGAUGAUCCCGCGUUGUAUUAGCUAGUUGGUGAGGUAAAGGCUCACCAAGGCGAUGAUACAUAGCCGACCUGAAAGGGUGAACGGCCACCAUGGGACUGAGACACGGCCCCAACCCCUACGGGAGGCAGCAGUAGGGAAUCCUCGGCAAUGGACGAAAGUCUGACCGAGCAACGCCGCGGGAGGGAAGAAGGUUUUCGGAUCGUAAAACUCUGUUGGUAGAGAAGAACGUUGGUGAGAGUGGAAAGCGCAUCAAGUGACGGUAACUACCCAGAAAGGGACGGCUAACUACGUG